rnacentral:rRNA from 1 species
AUUGAACGCUGGCGGCAGGCCUAACACAUGCAAGUCGAACGGUAACAGGAAGAAUCUUGCUUCUUUGCUGACGAGUGGCGGACGGGUAAGUAAUGUCUGGGAAACUGCCUGAUGGAGGGGGAUAACUACUGGAAACGGUAGCUAAUACCGCAUAACGUCGCAAGACCAAAGAGGGGGACCUUCGGGCCUCUUGCCAUCGGAUGUGCCCAGAUGGGAUUAGCUAGUAGGGGGGGUAACGGCUCACCUAGGCGACGAUCCCUAGCUGGUCUGAGAGGAUGACCAGCCACACUGGAACUGAGGCCCGGUCCAGGCUCCUACGGGAGGCAGCAGUGGGGAAUAUUGCACAAUGGGCGCAAGCCUGAUGCAGCCAUGCCGCGUGUAUGAAGAAGGCCGUCGGGUUGUAAAGUACUUUCAGCGGGGAGGAAGGUAGUAAAGUUAAUACCUUUACUUAUUGACGUUACCCGCAGAAGAAGCACCGGCUAACUCCGUG